rnacentral:rRNA from 1 species
CGCAGCAGUGGGGAAUAUUGCACAAUGGGGGAAACCCUGAUGCAGCGACGCCGCGUGAGCGAAGAAGUAUUUCGGUAUGUAAAGCUCUAUCAGCAGGGAAGAAAAUGACGGUACCUGACUAAGAAGCCCCGGCUAACUACGUGCCAGCAGCCGCGGUAAU